GGAACGGGCGCCACCGACCCGUCUAGAAACACGGACCAAGGAGUCUGACACGUGUGCGAGUACCCGGGUGUGGAAUGCCCGCGUGCGGAAUGAAAGUGAAGGGCAUGCCCUGCCAACCGACCUUGAGCUGCUGCGAAGGGUUUGAGUGGAGCACGUGUGUCGGGACCCGAAAGAUGGUGAACUAUGCCUGAAUAGGGCGAAGCCAGGGGAAACUCUGGUGGAGGCUCGUAGCGAUACUGACGUGCAAAUCGUUCGUCAAACUUGGGUAUAGGGGCGAAAGACUAAUCGAACCAUCGAGUAGCUGGUUCCCUCCGAAAUUUCCCUUAGGAUAGCUGCAACUUGUACAGUUUCAUCAGGUAAAGCGAAUGAUUAGAGGAUUCGGGGACGAAAUGUCCUCGACCUAUUCUCAAACUUUAAAUGGGUGAGAAACCUCGGUUGCUUAAUUGAACCUUGGUAUUUUGAAUGGAAGUUGUUAGUGGGCCAUUUCUGGUAAGCAGAACUGGCGAUGCGGGAUGAACCGAUCACGUCGUUAAAGCGUCCAACUUUCCGCUCAUCAGACCCCAUAAACGGCGUGGGUGAAUUUAGACAGUAGGACCAUGGCCAUGGAAGUCGGCACUGGCUAAGUAAUGUGUAACAACUAACCUACCGAAU
rnacentral:rRNA from 14 species